AACUUUCAACAACGGAUCUCUUGGCUCUGGCAUCGAUGAAGAACGCAGCGAAAUGCGAUAAGUAAUGUGAAUUGCAGAAUUCAGUGAAUCAUCGAAUCUUUGAACGCACAUUGCGCCCCUUGGUAUUCCGGGGGGCAUGCCUGUUCGAGCGUCA
rnacentral:rRNA from 1 species